rnacentral:misc_RNA from 1 species
AUUCAAGCUUUUAUUGAUUGUGUAGAUCUUAAGUUUUUUUGAUAUUAUGUGUUGUAACCAUAGUGAAUUUGGCAAGAUCUUGGUUGAUUACCCAAUAUUUCUUAAAUUUACUGAAAAUUUGAAAUAAAUCUUCUUGUAUCUGAUAGAAGUAUCUGAUAGGUGCACCCCUUCUUUAUUCUUAGCAUUGAAUGAGAUUUUGAGAAAUGAAAUGGAAGAGUUUGUGGCAUAGGUUUUGACGCGCUAUAAUUAGUAAUACUUGUGUGUUAAAAUGAUAAUAAGCUGUGACUAUAGGAUAGAUGACAAAUCAACCAAAAAAGGAUGUUAAGAAUG